GUCCACAGUCCUACUACUCUGAACAAACUCGAUCUUGUCCAAUUUCUAAAGUUAAGUAGGUUUAGACAUGGAUUGCACUUAGAUGGAAACAGUGGACA
rnacentral:rRNA from 1 species